UGGGGAAUUUUGGACAAUGGGCGAAAGCCUGAUCCAGCAAUGCCGCGUGUGUGAAGAAGGCCUUCGGGUUGUAAAGCACUUUUGUCCGGAAAGAAAUCCUUGGCUCUAAUACAGUCGGGGGAUGACGGUACCGGAAGAAUAAGCACCGGCUAACUACGUGCCAGCAGCCGCGGUAAUACGUAGGGUGCAAGCGUUAAUCGGAAUUACUGGGCGUAAAGCGUGCGCAGGCGGUUUGCUAGACCGAUGUGAAAUCCCCGGGCUCAACCUGGGAACUGCAUUGGUGACUGGCAGGCUAGAGUAUGGCAGAGGGGGGUAGAAUUCCACGUGUAGCAGUGAAAUGCGUAGAGAUGUGGAGGAAUACCGAUGGCGAAGGCAGCCCCCUGGGCCAAUACUGACGCUCAUGCACGAAAGCGUGGGGAGCAAACAGGAUUAGAUACCCUGGUAGUCCACGCCCUAAACGAUGUCAACUAGUUGUUGGGGAUUCAUUUCCUUAGUAACGUAGCUAACGCGUGAAGUUGACCGCCUGGGGAGUACGGUCGCAAGAUUAAAACUUAAAGGAAUUGACGGGGUCAUAGCUG
rnacentral:rRNA from 1 species